GGAAUAUCAACAUUUUCCUCAGAUAUGUUAGUAAAUUGCUAAGAAAAUACUUGCAUUGGUUGAUAAGUGGGCUGAGAAACAUCAGCAAUAAUCAUUCAACCAGAUAGUCAACGUUUCCGCUCAGUCUUGUGGUAAUAGUGAUUUCACCAGUUAGAAUAUUCUUGAAUAAACCUUAAAGUUUGGUUAGCGGUUGAUGCUAAGUGUAAAUACAGUGCAAUUUUAGUCAUAUGAAGCCUUUUCUUAUGAAUUUACCGGAAAAUCUGAGGGAAAUGUUGACUAUACAGAUAUUUGUCUCAUUUUUGCUGUCAAUGUGCCUUUACAUUGUCCUUAGCCUCAGUGAUAUUCCACAGGGCUGUGGUGUAUGCAACAUUUCUGCUUUCGUAAGCAAGUAAUUAGUCAUGGCAGAACAUGAGUGUGUGAUUAGCUCGAGAUGUGUUUAUCGGCCGAGUUUGUGUUUACAGGACGGCUACUGUAUGUGGCUGAUUUGACUUUUUUUUCUGCAUUAAUUAUUUCCUUUCCAAGUCUUAUCUCCGUGAUGUUUCCUGUUUUGAUCUGUUACAAAUUUUAAAUAUAAAACUGGAUUAAUAGACGAAAAAAAAUUAUCCACCGUUUUCUUUUCUUUUCUUUUCAGAGAGAUGAAUAAAUAACAAGUUCAGCGCUCAUCAUACGUCCUAAAGGAUUUCCUGAAAUGAUAAAAAAAAAAUUCAAAGCUGCAGCCACUGCACCAGUUCCAUUCUCGUCCAUUACAGUUCAUUGUGAAUGCUUAGGUAUGUUUAUUUUAGCAUCCUGCUGGUUCACUGUGCAACAUCCAAUCAAUAGAAUACCUGCUUUCAAACCAUCAGCAUCCAUCUUAGUACUACUACUACUACUACUACUACUAUUAAUACUACAUACAUUAUUGUCUAUAUAGCACUUAAAACACGGAAUUAACAAAGUGCAUUACAUAAAGAUGCUUUUUAUUUAUUUAAUAAAUUAAAGGUGCAAUAUGUAAUUUUGGUAGUGUUUCUCAAAUU
ensembl:lncRNA